AAGGCAGGAGCGUGAGGUGAACUGAAUUUCAGUUGUGACAGAUGGCUGCCCUCCCUGAGCCUGGUUCUUCCUGUUAGAAGAUAGUUUUUCCUUCCCACUGCCACAAAGUGUUUCCUCAUAAGGGUUGUGAAUUGGCAUUAUAUACAUUAACCUGAAUUUAAAUCGAAUUGAACUGAAAAUGGUUUAAGUAUAAGUACGCAGGAAAAAAAUAUGCCAAUUCAAAAUAUGAAUGUUCUGAAUACAUAUUAACAUAUCAAUGGUGGCUAUAUGGCAACUGAAAAGAGACUGUAUGUUAUUUUCAGCAUAACACACUGGGAGAGACUGAACAUUUUUUAGCAGUAAUUCACAGUAAAGUAUAAAAAGGAUUUGAUUAACAGUGUUACAUAACGAAUGCUAAUCUGCAGUCAUUUAGAAAUUAGUUACAUUUUUAUUUGAUAUAUCACUUGAACUCUUUUGAUUAGCAACCUUACACAAGUGAAGCAAAUUCUUCAGUCAGGCACUUCUACAGAAUACAAAUUGACACACUGCAACGCCUCCAGACAGCAGGUUCAUCAUUUGAAGGGAGCAGACUUCUCCUGGCUGCACUUCAAUUGUGGAGAGGUGGGAGCCACCUCAGAGCAGCUUCCACCUUGAGUGAGGAAGUGGAACAGAUUGCUAUCACUUUUUUCAUUUUGCAAAUAAGAGCAGGAGACAUUGUGAUGAUGAACUUGAGGCUGAAGAACUCUAGAAAAAAAUUGUAGCCAGUUUUCGUAUGGUAUGCAAAACCUCUAAUUUUAGCUGUUUAGGUAUAAAAAACAUGAUUUUCUUUUGUUGGUGUCAUGUGGCACUUUUAUUGUGUGAAAGAUUCCUGACUGACUUGCUGUGCGGUGUUGUGUGUGACCGAAAGCCUGUAAUUCAGGUCUGUGGUGCACAUUGAGCAGGAAGCUAAACUGCAGAUACAGCUGAAUACCUCAGGAUCUUCCAGAAUCCCAGGACUCACGCAGAACCACUGAGGGAGCUUGAUGAUAAAGAUGAUGCAGAGAUGUAUGACAGCACUUCAGAAAGCAGUUCAGAUUAUGACAAUGCAUAAGUGCGUGUCACCAAAAGAGAUGUGGAUCUCUCUAAACAUUCUCUAUUUAAUGCGAUAAUACAUUUUACUUGCAUUUUCAAGUGCACAAAAGACAGCAGUGCACUUUUCAUUGGCUGUGACUGAGAACUGUUUGCAAGAGUGGCAGAGUUUAUUAUUUAAACUAGAUAGUUACAUCACUGCAUUAUAAGAAAAAAAUAAACUCAGAUAGUAGAGGCUUGUCUCAUCACUGGUUUGCAAGGUUCAGUAAGAAUUAAAACUGCACAUGGUGUUUUGAGCUAUAUUUCUACAGGAAUCUAUUGCCAGUGUAUAUAUUAGAUUAGAUGAAACUUUAUUAAUCCCUCGGGUGGGUUCCUCCGGGAAAUUCAGUUUCCAGUAGCACAGCACCGACAGAAGUUGCAUGUUACAGAUACAAUAAAGGGGAAUGAGAGU